GAUGAACGCUGGCGGCGUGCCUAAUACAUGCAAGUCGAGCGAACAGAUAAGGAGCUUGCUCCUUUGACGUUAGCGGCGGACGGGUGAGUAACACGUGGAUAACCUACCUAUAAGACUGGGAUAACUUCGGGAAACCGGAGCUAAUACCGGAUAACAUAUUGAACCGCAUGGUUCAAUAGUGAAAGGCGGCUUUGCUUUCACUUAUAGAUUGAUCCGCGCCGUAUUAGCUAGUUGGUAAGGUAACGGCUUACCAAGGCAACGAUACGUAGCCGACCUGAGAGGGUGAUCGGCCACACUGGAACUGAGACACGGUCCAGACUCCUACGGGAGGCAGCAGUAGGGAAUCUUCCGCAAUGGGCGAAAGCCUGACGGAGCAACGCCGCGUGAGUGAUGAAGGUCUUCGGAUCGUAAAACUCUGUUAUCAGGGAAGAACAAAUGUGUAAGUAACUGUGCACAUCUUGACGGUACCUGAUCAGAAAGCCACGGCUAACUACGUG
rnacentral:rRNA from 1 species